AACCCUAAGGGUGUUGGGUUCGGUAGUCAGACUAAUCUACUUUAGCCAGCUUGUUGGGGAGAUUAUUCAAAUUUCUCAUAGUGGAUUUAUCAGGUUGAGUUUCAAAUUUGUGAAGUUUAUUUCAAAGACAAUUUGCAGAGCUUGGAGAUUUAUGGAUAUCUUGGACACCAUGGGUUCUAUAUUAUUUAAUAUGCUGGAAGAGAUUUACUGAAGGUUGAAUGUGUUGAUGAGUUUGCUUGAAUAAAGUUAUGCGAAAAUGAAAUGAAAUCAGAUGCCAUUCCAAAAAGGAUUUUGGGAGGACGCAAGAAGUUUUGCUGGCUGCGUGAGGAGGAUUAGGGUCGUUUUGAAGUCAUUGUUUGAGACUGCAUUGAAGUUGUGGGUGAGAAACUUCUUCUGUAGAGGCGUGAGCUCUCUCCCUUCAUAGAU